CAGCCGCCACGGUAAUACGAAGGGGGCUAGCGUUGUUCGGAUUUACUGGGCGUAAAGCGCACGUAGGCGGACUUUUAAGUCAGAGGUGAAAGCCCGGGGCUCAACCCCGGAACUGCCUUUGAAACUAGGUGACUAGAAUCUUGGAGAGGUCAGUGGAAUUCCGAGUGUAGAGGUGAAAUUCGUAGAUAUUCGGAAGAACACCAGUGGCGAAGGCGACUGACUGGACAAGUAUUGACGCUGAGGUGCGAAAGCGUGGGGAGCAAACAGGAUUAGAUACCCCUGUAGUCCCUGUCUCUUAUAC
rnacentral:rRNA from 1 species